AUUGAACGCUGGCGGCAUGCCUUACACAUGCAAGUCGAACGGUAACAGGUCUUCGGAUGCUGACGAGUGGCGAACGGGUGAGUAAUACAUCAGAGCGUGCCUAGUAGUGGGGGAUAACUACUCGAAAGAGUGGCUAAUACCGCAUGAGAUCUACGGAUGAAAGCAGGGGAUCGCAAGACCUUGUGCUACUAGAGCGGCCGAUGGCAGAUUAGGUAGUUGGUGGGAUAAAAGCUUACCAAGCCGACGAUCUGUAGCUGGUCUGAGAGGACGAUCAGCCACACUGGGACUGAGACACGGCCCAGACUCCUACGGGAGGCAGCAGCGGGGAAUUUUGGACAAUGGGCGAAAGCCUGAUCCAGCAAUGCCGCGUGCAGGAUGAAGGCCUUCGGGUUGUAAACUGCUUUUGUACGGAACGAAAAGCCCCGGGUUAAUACCCUGGGGUCAUGACGGUACCGUAAGAAUAAGCACCGGCUAACUACGUGCCAGCCGCCGCCGUAA
rnacentral:rRNA from 1 species